GCCGAGCGAAGCGUCCUCCGGCCGCCUCCCCGCCGGGUCGGGCCCGUCUCCGGGCCCCAGGGGUCGCUGCGACGCCUCAGACGCUCUUUGUGUCCACGGCGGCCCGCGCUUUGGGCCCGCGCUUGACCCCGGGGCACCAGCUCUAUUUGUGCUCGCUCAAGAGACUGCACUAUCUCAGGAGCACUUUUAUCUUUAUAAACCCACUCGUGACAGAUUUGUAUUCUGAGAUGUUGUUGUUGUUGUUGUCGUCGUCGCCCUAAGCUCCGAAAGUUUUUGCUGAGAAAAAUGAUCUUUGGAGCCUGGAGAAGGUGUACUGAAGAUUCCAGCUGGCAGCUCAUGCCUUUAAACACCUCAUGCCCUUUGUGAGGUGAGUGGGGAAGACCAGGUGCAGGCCUGAUAUGUGCCUCAUUCCAUUUUCGGAAGGGCUGAGGUGAGGCGUCUCCUACAAGUCAAGAGGGCCAAGACCCUGGCCACGUCCCCCAGUGCUCAGGUGAGUGUUCUUCUCUGAGUGCUAGUAUCUGAUGGGUCCAACAUUUGUGAAACACGCUGGCCAAGAGGCUGGCUGGAAUAUUGUUUGGCAUUCUCAGGUUGACAGAACUGGUUUUAUGUAAUUUGAGAGGUGUGUGGCAUGUGAGCCAGGCUUUUAUCACUCGCCCCCUUUCCCUUCCUGGGAAUUGUUUGUGUGGCGGAGAUUUCCUGUCUGUAUUUUUAGUGUCUCAUUCUCCAUGGUUGCUCAAGUAUCCAUGGCCAUGUUUUACUGACUCACGCAGAUUCCCAGAUGCCCCUGAUAAAACUGAUGGCUACUCAGUGUGGAAAGCCCAGGAAUUGUCCCAUAGCUUGCCUCAUUGGGACAAUUAUUUGGGGAAAAAAAUCUGGUUUUUCAGAAAACAGGGUUUUGCAGAUAGCUUAGCUUUCAGAAUGACAAGUUUUGUUAAUUAGCUUUCUUAAUGCUGAAGCAGAAGAAGGAUAUAUUCUGGGGUAAAGCAAGAGGGAAUGGGUACAGCAAGUAUUCAUACUGCAUUUUUUCCACCGUCCCCUCUCCUUGCUGCUGCUUUCAGGCCAGCUGGAGUUCCCAAAGCCCCGCGUCUGUGGGCAAGGCUGCGUGGUGAAAGAGCUGAGUCACAGCUUUGCUUCUCUAUAAUUAUAAAUUUUAUCACCUCAUCUGACAUAGAGAGGGUGUUGGUUGGAAAUGAAAUACACAUUAGGAAUAAGCUCUUUAGAAAUAGAAAAAAAGAGAGAGAGAGAAAAAAAGCAAAAACAGUAAAAAACAAAACAAAACAAAACCCAGCUUUCACAAUGUGAAGGCUUUUUUCCACUAGCUAAGGUCAUGAAGAGACAGAGGAGUCAUUUCCCCUUCUUGCCCAUAAAGUCAUGAAACUUAAAACAUCAAAAUAAACAACACUGUAAAUUUCUUGUCCAACCCUCUUCUCAUUAUUUUGUUUCGUGUCCUCAGAGCCCAAGUUUGGAGAACAUACCUUGUCAGCUGCCCCCACCCUAUCUUUUCUCCCAUCUUCUUUGCUGUUCUCUCAAGACCUUAUUGGAAAUCACUUUAGGAAUGAAGUCUUGUCUCCCUAGGAGAUGUCGUUUUAUGGUAUGUCAUCGUGCUUCCGAAACUUAAAAAUUGUUCUUGAAGGGUGCCUGGGUGGCUCUGUAAGUUAAAUGUGUGCCUUUGGCUCAGGUCAUGAUCUUGGGGUCCUGGGAUCAAGUCCCACAUG